GGCUGAUCCUACUGCAACGGGGUUGCACUACUAAUUGAUUACAGCUAGUUACAGAUUUCUUUGUUCUUUCUCCACUCCCAUUGCUUUACUUGAGUAGCUUUUU
rnacentral:Y_RNA from 1 species